rnacentral:rRNA from 1 species
UGGGUGCCCGUGACGGAAAAGGGUUUUCCGCCUUUCUACCCCGUCCUCCGCCUCCGCCUACGCCUACUCGUCGACGUCGCCGCCGAGGCCGCCCACAAGCGACGGCUCCUCGCCAGCAAGGCGUACCUAGCCGCGAGCGGCCGGCGGCGGCUGGAGGCGAGGCGGCAGCGGCUGCACGAGGGGGCUAAGGAGCCGUUGAUGAGGCUGCUCUGGGAGCGCCUCAUGUAACAUUAAAAUCAAACAUUACCCUUUGUAGUCAUAGUUCGUGCGCUACUAAACCUCCGGAAAGAACCACUACUAUCACGUUUUAAACAACGUACCGAAACCCCAAUGGAUUCGUUUUGCCGACAUCGUGACCGAUUACUAAGAUCGCACGUUGUAUCCGACCUUUUACUUUCAGUCCUGGCCUUACUGUUCUUUUUAGAAGACCAGAGUUUUUGGGUUGGGCCCCUCCGAGUAUAACGUUUGAGUUUAUAGAAUCAUGGUGUUCUCGUAUUACCGGAAGUGUUCGAACUAAAUUCAUUCCCUGUUUUACACCGGGUCGCUGCGUAAUCAAGUUGACAAUGGUAAAGGGGAUUUUACCACCGACCACUGCUUACAAUAGCCCUCCCGGUCGUAGUCUUCUUUCUAACCUCAAAUUGUCCACCGUCUUCAAGGAGGUACGCCGUCAGACCACAUCGACGUUUCUGACUUGUAUGUAACUACGUUCUCCUUGGGGUACUACUCGUAGAACCGCCUUUAAGGAGGUGUUCUGCAAACGGACACCGGUACCCUUGACUACUACCACUUCACGGUCUUAGGUACUCUUCCGGGGCGUUACAAACCCUGUCCGAUCCCUUCGGACGAUACCUCCUAGUUCCAAAUCGAUGUCUUCGACUGUUGUACGUACAACUUUUAAAUUACGUAUUCUUCCGGUUCAAUUACCACAGACUCGUACUUGCUUCUACGGCACAAUUGAGUUCAUGCCUUCCGCUAAAUAAACUGUCUCGUUUAAGACCUUUGAAAAGGUCAUCAAUGGGUCUACAGUUAUGUCGUGUGCGUGUACUCGGGCCCCUCUUUAGGUUGUCUUCGUCCGACUGGCCAGCCAACUUAAAACCACUACACCUCGCAUUAGCAGUAGUUCAAUCUCUACAAUAAUCGGCCUUCAGAUGAAGUUGAGGCGGUCACUUUUCAAAACAAAGUGUUUCAAACUUACUCAAGUGUAGGUUCCACUUCUCGAGUGGACGUAGUCAAAGACUUGGUCGUGCCGUACGUUUGAGCAAUUUUCCUGUACAUAGUCGUAGACUGUUUAACAGGGUCAAUUUAUACGCCGAUUUAAGUCCUUGACUACAAAACGUUUCAGUCGUUUAAUCGUCGGGACGUGUCAGGUUCUCACCCAGAAGACAAGCACUUCUACCACCGUUAAUGUCAUUGUUUGGUCAUUUUCUACUCUACAACCUACACUUUGAUUUCGAUUUCGUCCACCUUGAUCUGUACGAGUUCGAAGCCAGGUUCGUCCGCGUCUAUUUGUUACCCUUCGUUCCUCGGGAGGGUAGUCCCGGGGUAAGCUUAAAUCUCCUCCUACGGCUACGGUCUUGACAAGAACACUGUUUACACGUAAAACGCCGUUGGUUUCUUCGUAAUAGUUGUGUAAAAUACUUCACACCCUGUCACGAAUUCGAGUUAUACAACUGUCUACGUUAAUGACCGGUAGGUUUUCCCCGACGUAAACAAUGAAAACGACUGUUCCUUAGAUAACCCUCCCGGGAUAGAAACUCACCCUGCAGCAAAAUGAGAUCUCAAGAGUGUCAUUACGCCUUUCGUCUUCGUGGAGGACCUAAAAACCGCAGAUAAGUCGUCUAACCCUCCGGCGACGGUACCUUGAGCGGUGGUAAGGUCUUUCCCCAAUCAGGUUUCGUCAGGAGACCAGUAGUAGAGGUCACCUUUGCACUCGUCAGACGGUACCUUUUAAGGGGACGGUUAACGGGAUGGCUGACUUAGAUUCCGUUCCGAAUUCUUAGUUUUGGAGUGGUUACCUGUAUCGAAAUGACCUAGUCCAGACCCGUUCUACAAUAGAAACCGUGGAGAAAUAGGAGUCUUACUAUGACAAUGACGACAAGUUUGUAGAUGUCCAAAUAAAGAAAGACUACUCCUUAAUGUCCGAAAGGAACGACGACCCCAAACCUUGAGCACUCUACUUUGCCCUUAACCAACGUUGGGAUUGGUUUCGAUAUCUGUUCUAAGAAACCAGCCUGUACACACGAUACACAGAUCUGGGUAAGUCUUAUACACACUAGGAGUCCUAGCAUCAACGGCGUGAACAGCUUAUACGAUCACCGUUUGACCGUUAUACUUUACAUCAAUGUCAAGUUGCUUGUAGAAACUCUACCACUCGCUCAUGUAAGCUUACUUCUACAGUCGCAACCGGUCGGAAAACAAUAAACUUAAAACUUCGUGCAGAUUCGACAGCGUCAUACGAAUGACGGACGCUACAUUAUUGUUGGUUGGCUACCUUCUGGUAUUUGAGAAGGUUCGGUCG